CGGCUCAGUAACACGUGGACAACCUACCCUUAGGACGGGGAUAAACCCGGGAAACUGGGUAUAAUACCCGAUAGUCCUCGGAUGCUGGAAUGCCCCGAGAACUAAAGCUCCGGCGCCUAAGGAUGGGUCUGCGGCCUAUCAGGUAGUAGUGGGUGUAGCGUACCUACUAGCCUACGACGGGUACGGGUUGUGAGAGCAAGAGCCCGGAGAUGGAUUCUGAGACACGAAUCCAGGCCCUACGGGGUGCAGCAGGCGCGAAAACUUUACAAUGCUGGAAACAGCGAUAAGGGGACCUCGAGUGCCAGGUUACAAAUCUGGCUGUCGUGAUGCCUAAAAAGCAUUGCAUAGCAAGGGCCGGGCAAGACCGGUGCCAGCCGCCGCGGUAACACCGGCGGCUCGAGUGGCAACCGUUAUUAUUGGGUCUAAAGGGUCUGUAGCCGGCCGGAUAAGUCUCUUGGGAAAUCUGGCAGCUUAACUGUCAGGCUUUCAGGAGAUACUGUCUGGCUCGAGGCCGGGAGAGGUGAGAGGUACUUCAGGGGUAGGGGUGAAAUCUUGUAAUCCUUGAAGGACCACCAGUGGCGAAGGCGUCUCACCAGAACGGACCUGACGGCAAGGGACG
rnacentral:rRNA from 1 species